rnacentral:rRNA from 1 species
UACGGAGGAUCCGAGCGUUAUCCGGAAUUAUUGGGUUUAAAGGGUGCGUAGGUGGACUGGUAAGUCAGCUGUGAAAGUUUACGGCUCAACCGUGUAAUUGCAGUUGAUACUGUUGGUCUUGAGUAUACAUGAGGUUGGCGGAAUUUCUGGUGUAGCGGUGAAAUGCGUAGAUAUCACAAAGAACACCGAUUGCGAAGGCAGCUCACUGGGGUAUAACUGACGCUGAUGCACGAAGGUGUGGGUAUCAAACAGG